GACGAACGCUGGCGGCGUGCUUAACACAUGCAAGUCGAGCGGAGCGGCGAACGGGUGAGUAACGCGGGAGUAACUGCCCCCCUAUCUGGGAUAACAGUUGGAAACGGAUGCUAAUACCGGAUAGUUGGGGAUGGCUCGCUUACUAUCAGCUGGGUGGUUGGGUAGGGGCCUACCAAGGCGACGACGGGUAGCCGGCCUGCGAGGGCGACCGGCCACAUUGUGCUGAGAUACGGCCCAAACUCCUACGGGAGGCAGCAGGGGGGAAUAUUGCACAAUGGGGGAACCCCUGAUGCAGCAACGCGCGUGCGGGAUGACGGCCUUCGGGUUGUAAACCGCUUUCAGCCAUGACGCGGUAGUGGCAGAAGAAGCACCGGCUAACUACGUGCCAGCAGCCGCGGUAAUAC
rnacentral:rRNA from 1 species